GCGGACGUGGCGGAAUGGCAGACGCGCCAGACUUAGGAUCUGGUACUUAACAGUGUAAGAGUUCAAGUCUCUUCGUCCGCACCA
rnacentral:tRNA from 1 species